GGAAAGGCGCGCGAUACAGGGUGACAGCCCCGUACACAAAAAUGCACAUGCUGUGAGCUCGAUGAGUAGGGCGGGACACGUGGUAUCCUGUCUGAAUAUGGGGGGACCAUCCUCCAAGGCUAAAUACUCCUGACUGACCGAUAGUGAACCAGUACCGUGAGGGAAAGGCGAAAAGAACCCCGGCGAGGGGAGUGAAAAAGAACCUGAAACCGUGUACGUACAAGCAGUGGGAGCACGCUUAGGCGUGUGACUGCGUACCUUUUGUAUAAUGGGUCAGCGACUUAUAUUCUGUAGCAAGGUUAACCGAAUAGGGGAGCCGAAGGGAAACCGAGUCUUAACUGGGCGUUAAGUUGCAGGGUAUAGACCCGAAACCCGGUGAUCUAGCCAUGGGCAGGUUGAAGGUUGGGUAACACUAACUGGAGGACCGAACCGACUAAUGUUGAAAAAUUAGCGGAUGACUUGUGGCUGGGGGUGAAAGGCCAAUCAAACCGGGAGAUAGCUGGUUCUCCCCGAAAGCUAUUUAGGUAGCGCCUCGUGAAUUCAUCUCCGGGGGUAGAGCACUGUUUCGGCAAGGGGGUCAUCCCGACUUACCAACCCGAUGCAAACUGCGAAUACCGGAGAAUGUUAUCACGGGAGACACACGGCGGGUGCUAACGUCCGUCGUGAAGAGGGAAACAACCCAGACCGCCAGCUAAGGUCCCAAAGUCAUGGUUAAGUGGGAAACGAUGUGGGAAGGCCCAGACAGCCAGGAUGUUGGCUUAGAAGCAGCCAUCAUUUAAAGAAAGCGUAAUAGCUCACUGGUCGAGUCGGCCUGCGCGGAAGAUGUAACGGGGCUAAACCAUG
rnacentral:rRNA from 3 species